AUCCAGCUGACAAGUCCGAAAUAAAGCGAAACGUUCUUCCUGGAU
rfam:Schistosoma curassoni strain Dakar, Senegal genome assembly, scaffold: SCTD_scaffold0002911